AGAGCACAUCAGAAAUUCCGAAAUGUUACGCGAAUCGGAUCGCAGCUGGCUGCGGUGGAAGGAAAUCCACGAGCGCGCGAGCAACGGAACGCCCGCCGACAGGUACGCGCCGUGCCAGCGUCCGGAUGACAGGUAACACAGGUGAUUUCGCACAACGACGCAGUUCGAAUUACGCACUGAAUUAUAAAUCCACUGGAUCGGAUGGUGCAGGUAUAUGCAGGUUAUACAUACUUACGUGUGGUAAUUUGGCGAUACGAUGCGGCGCGACCGCUGGCGGAUCAACGGGCACGUCGGGCACGGCUGGCGCGACGACACUGGAAAGCGGCGCGCUUCGUAAAAACACCUGUGCAUCGCUUGACCGCUUUUCGGCCAUUCCAGGUUUGACCUGUGGGCCCAAGUGGGAACAACGCGCGGAGGCGAGGUGGGUGCGAGUGCGCGCCGCGCUCGCCUACCUGCGCACCGCUCUACUACCUGGCCUGUCGAACCGUCUUCCCUUUGCAUAGACUCGCUAGGGAUCAUUAGUAGCGUCGAAAAAUUCAACCCCUCAGCACCCAAAUCAAUUCCAGGUAGAGGUAACCAUUUACAACACAUACAAUUGGCAAUAAUUUCCAUUUUACAGCCACCCUAAACAUAAUUCAUAGAAUUUUACAUUUUCAAGGUUUCUCCAACUACAUACAAUAAAUAUAUGCUUGAAUUUGCGAAUGCAAAUUAUGACAUGAAUGAAACUAAAAGUUUUCAUAAGUUGAUUGAUCGAUGACGACCGACGACCUCAAAAACGUAUGCAAUUCAAUUCGCAAUCAACCACGACCUAUGCAUAGCAGAAUAAUUUGAAUUCGAUUUUCUUCGAGCAGAGAAUAUCGGCCAAAGGUUAUCUUUCGGCAUUAUUACGAGUAUUUUUUCGAAUUUCUCGAUCACGGAUGUCCAUGUGCUACUCUGCCACAUGUGCUACUUGUCGAGUGUGUUCAUGCGCUGGCGUGUAAUAAGGUCGCGCCGUUUGUCGGUCGAUUUCGACAGGAUAGGGAUACGUAGCGGUUUCUCGAGCCAAAUGAACUGUUAUUGCGGUUAAUUUCUCCUCUCCGCGCAGCGAACGCAACGCAAUGUACUCUCGACAGAAGUGGCACGGCCGAAUUUUUCGAAAUCAAAACCAAAAACGCAUCCGAUCGCAGCUCGCUGAGUAAUUCCACAAAAUCAUUGCGUGUUUGGAUGACAAUUAUAUGAAAUGUAACAAAGUAUACAUGGGAGUUAGGUAAUUUCACAUCUUUUGUGAUUUUUGGUUUUUCCAGCUUAAAAUCCCGUAGUAAAUUACUCAGAAAUAGUUACUAUUUAAGUGUACUUAAACGUAGUAAAAUCCCUGAUGGAAAUUGGUUUAGCGCUGUAAUAAAUAACUGAUUGUUGGCCGUUCUCGAUUCUCGA